rnacentral:rRNA from 1 species
AUGAGUUACUUAAUAUGGAACUACCGGGGGGCGGGGAACCGUCGGGCAGUUCGAGAUGUUGGGGCUCUUGCAAAAGCCCAUUCCCCGAGGUUCGUCUUCAUGUCUGAAACAAGGCAAUUGUCUGCCAAAGCUCAAACGAUAAAAUGGAAGCUGGGCCUAAGAGGUUUCUAUGGUGUUGAUUGUGAAUGUCGUGGAGGGGGAUUGGCUCUAUUUUGGGGACGAUUCCCUCUAGGUGCCAGUACUUGA